UACGUAGGGUGCGAGCGUUAAUCGGAAUUACUGGGCGUAAAGCGUGCGCAGGCGGUUCGUUAAGUCAGCUGUGAAAGCCCCGGGCUCAACCCGGGAAUGGCGGUUGAAACUGGCGAACUUGAAUCUGGCAGAGGGGGGUGGAAUUCCACGUGUAGCAGUGAAAUGCGUAGAGAUGUGGAGGAACACCGAUGGCGAAGGCAGCCCCCUGGGCUGAGAUUGACGCUCAGGCACGAAAGCGUGGGGAGCAAACGGG
rnacentral:rRNA from 1 species